rnacentral:rRNA from 1 species
UAAACCGGUGUGCGAGGAGAUCAUUAUCGAGUUUUGACUGGGUUGUAGCUGGCCUUCCGAGGCAUGUGCACGCCCUGCUCAUCCACUCUACACCUGUGCACUUACUGUGGGCUUCAGAUCUAAAACGGGUCCCUUUACCGGGCUUGCGGAGCGUGUCUGUGCCUGCGUUUAUCACAAACUCUAUAAAGUAUCAGAAUGUGUGCGAAUUUGUACGCAUACUAUAUACAACUUUCAGCAACAUCUCUUGGCUCUCGCAUCGAUGAAGAACGCAGCGAAAUGCGAUAAGUAAUGUGAAUUCAGAAUUCAGUGAAUCAUCGAAUCUUUGAACGCACCUUCGCUCCUUGGUAUUCCGAGGAGCAUGCCUGUUUGAGUGUCAAAAUCUGUUCAACCUGCAAGCUUUUUGUGUUUGUAGGCUUGGACUUGAGGCUUGUUGGCCAUUCUUGGUCGGCUCCCUUAAAUGCAUUAGCUUGGUCUGUCGGAUCGGCUCUCGGUGUGAUAAUGUCUACACUGCGACCGUGAAGCGUUUGGCGUCUCUAACCGUCUCAGUUGGAGACAACUUUAUGACCUCUGACCUCAAAUCAGGUAGGACUACCCGCACUUG